UGGGGAAUAUUGCACAAUGGGCGCAAGCCUGAUGCAGCCAUGCCGCGUGUAUGAAGAAGGCCUUCGGGUUGUAAAGUACUUUCAGCGGGGAGGAAGGUGUUGAGGUUAAUAACCUCAGCAAUUGACGUUACCCGCAGAAGAAGCACCGGCUAACUCCGUGCCAGCAGCCGCGGUAAUACGGAGGGUGCAAGCGUUAAUCGGAAUUACUGGGCGUAAAGCGCACGCAGGCGGUCUGUCAAGUCGGAUGUGAAAUCCCCGGGCUCAACCUGGGAACUGCAUUCGAAACUGGCAGGCUAGAGUCUUGUAGAGGGGGUAGAAUUCCAGGUGUAGCGGUGAAAUGCGUAGAGAUCUGGAGGAAUACCGGUGGCGAAGGCGGCCCCCUGGACAAAGACUGACGCUCAGGUGCGAAAGCGUGGGGAGCAAACA
rnacentral:rRNA from 1 species